rnacentral:rRNA from 1 species
GACAGAGGGGGCAAGCGUUGCUCGGAAUCACUGGGCGUAAAGCGCACGUAGGCGGGUUGUUAAGUCGGGGGUGAAAUCCUGGAGCUCAACUCCAGAACUGCCUUCGAUACUGGCGACCUUGAGUCCGGGAGAGGUGAGUGGAACUCCGAGUGUAGAGGUGAAAUUCGUAGAUAUUCGCAAGAACACCAGUGGCGAAGGCGGCUCACUGGCCCGGUACUGACGCUGAGGUGCGAAAGCGUGGGGAGCAAACAGG